rnacentral:lncRNA from 1 species
GUAAAGCUGAUGGUGCUGUUCACAUCAGAAAUUGCAGCACUGAAGAACAGAGUUCAUGCAGACUUUUACAACAUGCAUCAGCUACAGCAUUUGUUUGUUGAUGGUACCAGCUGUCAAAAACCAAGCAAGUGGCAGUGCUAGAGGUGCCACAAAAGUGCGAAGGAAGUGUCAGGCUGGAUGUCAAAAUGAACACCUUGGAGAACUGGAUGAUGGAACAGACGGUAAAAAUCAGCUAAACAUCAGAGAAAAUGGAGGAAGAGGUCAAAACUGUGAACAGGAACUAGAAGAAAGUGUAGCAGAAAAAGACUUGUCACAAACUUCGAGAGAUUUGGAGAAAAUGAUGUCAAAACACAUCUUCCUCAAGCCCAUGCUGAGUAUCUCUGAUUUGGUUAAUUUCUUGACCCAGAGAUGCUGGGUGGCCUCUGGCCGCUGACCUCCUGAUUGCCAUCCCUCCCCCAUCACCACAACUCAAUAAUCAAACCAGCAACUGAGGAGUUACUCUACACUCUUCUUUACCUCCCAACCACCCCGUUCCAGCUGCUAAUCAUCAUGCUGAUUCUACCUGUAAAAUACAGCUCGAUUUGUUUGGUUUUCUCCAUCUCCACAGCUGGCACCCUCUCUACGUCUCUGCCAUCUGUCACCUAGACAACACAGCAUCUUCCAAAUGAGUGCCUCUAUUUCCAGGGUGAUCUUAAAACAGAAAUCAGAUUUUCACCCCUGCUGAAUAUCCUUCAGGGUCUCUUCUCUGCACCCAGCUGGAAUCCAAACACUGGUCCAGGAAGCCCCGCCUGCCUCUCCUGCCUCACCCAGAUGGCUCUACCCUUUGCCCACCUCACUUCAGCCACAGUGGCCUCACCUAAGUGCCUCCACAUUUGGUAUCUAUUCAUUCUCUAGCCAGUGCACCUCAGAAUGCCUGGAAUUCAGCUGGGCAUGGUGGCCCAUUCCUGUAAUUCCAGCACUUUGUGAGGCCAAGGUGGGUGGAUCACUUGA